CCUACGGGAGGCAGCAGUGGGGAAUAUUGCGCAAUGGGCGAAAGCCUGACGCAGCGACGCCGCGUGAGGGAUGAAGGUCUUCGGAUCGUAAACCUCUGUCAGUAGGGAAGUACGGUCACUGUGCUAAUCAGCAGUGAAUGGACGGUAUCUGCAAAGGAAGCACCGGCUAACUCCGUGCGAGCAGCCGCGGUAAUACGGAGGGUGCGUGCGUUAAUCGGAAUUACUGGGCGUAAAGCGCUCGUAGGCGGUAUGUCAAGUCAAGGGUGAAAUCCCGCCGCUCAACGGGGGAACUGCCUUUGAUACUGGCAGACUGGAGUAUAUGAGAGGAUAGUGGAAUUCCAGGUGUAGGAGUGAAAUCCGUAGAUAUCUGGAGGAACAUCAGUGGCGAAGGCGACUAUCUGACACAUAACUGACACUGAGGAGCGAAAGCGUGGGUAGCAAACAGGAUUAGAUACCCCAGUAGUC
rnacentral:rRNA from 1 species